rnacentral:rRNA from 1 species
CCCAGACUCCUACGGGAGGCAGCAGUGGGGGAUAUUGCACAAUGGGGGGAACCCUGAUGCAGCGACGCCGCGUGGGUGAAGAAGUAUUUCGGUAUGUAAAGCCCUAUCGGCAGGGAAGAAAUUGGACGGUACCUGACUAAGAAGCCCCGGCUAACUACGUGCCAGCAGCCGCGGUAAUACGUAGGGGGCAAGCGUUAUCCGGAUUCACUGGGUGUAAAGGGAGCGUAGACGGCCAUGCAAGCCUGGAGUGAAAGCCCGGGGCCCAACCCCGGGACUGCUCUGGGAACUGUGCGGCUGGAGUGCGGGAGGGGCAGGCGGAAUUCCUGGUGUAGCGGUGAAAUGCGUAGAUAUCAGGAGGAACACCGGCGGCGAAGGCGGCCUGCUGGACCGCGACUGACGUUGAGGCUCGAAAGCGUGGGGAGCAAACAGGAUUAGAUACCCGCGUA